rnacentral:sRNA from 1 species
UUUUAGCCCUGAUUGAAACGGAAAUCCUUUUGUGUAGUCCCGACACUUCGGGACGAAACAAAAGAUUGCAGUGGAAAGCAGGUUCCUGG